AUUAAUUUUACAUAUAUGUAGCAGGUAGGAAAGUAGGUCAUGGGGGUGGGGUCAUCUGCCUAGGUAUAUCAGGUGAUGCAGAUUAGAGGGGGACUAGCCAUUUGGAUGAGUGACGGCCACAUGGUAAUGGAGUGCCACUAGCACAGUGUUUCAGUAUAGUACAGGGGAAUGCAACUGUGAAGCACCAGUGUGUGAAGUCGCCUUCAGUUAAAGAAGAUUUUAAUAGUUUUUUACAAACCGUUUGAUGUGACCAGUAUGCAAGUCUUAUAACCAGCUAUUGCGGUAUGAUUCAAUGUGAAUUGUUUCAGGUAUGAGCAUGUUAAAUAAUAUUAAAUGUGUGUUAAUGAUGUGCUUGAUCUUAUGUGUUUGCAUUUUUGUCAGUCACUGUUUUCCUUGCCUUCAGAUUAUGUUAAUGCUUUAGUGUUUGUCACGUGUUAACCGGAUGCAGCGCUCUGUUAUCGCAUUGAGAAGCACUAAGGUGGAGAGACUCAUUCUUUUGUUGUGUUCUUUGUAUUUUGCAUUGUGUAUAUCAUAUUGUAUUUUUAUUUUGUUUAUUUGGUCAUUGGCAAUUGUAUAAUUUACAAUAUUUAUGGUGCAAUUGCACAGAGCAAUGUGCAGUAAUUCCCUUUAAUGUAUAACAGAAGUGUGCCGAUUGCAGUGUAUCAAGCGAAGGUGAUUGAUUUGAUUUGCGCUGUGAUUUCCUGCUUGUGUAUUGGAGUGUAGUGUGUAUUUGGUGUUAUAUUUAAAGGGUUUACGACUUGCCUUGAACGUGUACCUUUCAUUGGAGAGUUAUUUAUUUGCUCUGCUAUGAAUUAAAUAUUUUAAUAUUGUAAAAGUAACAAAGAAUAAAGUUAAAUAUUUUUGUGCACCUGCCUUUGUCCUUUUAAUUAGGAUAUAUCUAUUACCCGCCCACAUACCGUAUUGUUCCUGCUACUGGUAAAUUAAUCGGGCAUUGGUCUGUUUCUGGC
ensembl:lncRNA